rnacentral:lncRNA from 1 species
AAAGAAACUAGAGGCUCUAAAGAGCCUGUGUCGCUCACCUUGGUCUAUGUGAAUAUUAAACAAUGGACACAGAUGGAUUCAUGACAAAAUUGUGUUUUGGUGAUGGUGAUGUGUUUGUAGAUCUUACUUUACUAAACAUUCUUGCUGCUUACAAUUAUCUCUAUCUAUAACAGUACUUUCUGUGGAAAAUGUUAUUGAAAAUCUUCAAAUUUUAAGAAAAUGUUAAAAAUUGACUAUGAAGGCAAUACUCCUUAGGGGUCAAUUGACUAUUUUGGUCAUAGUGACUUAUUUUUAGUUCUUACUUUGCUGUACAUUUUUGCUGUUUACAGUUUAUCUCUAUCUAUAA